rnacentral:rRNA from 1 species
AUGAGCACAUCAUAUCACCCACAGAGUGAUGGUCAAACUGAGCGAGUGAAUCAGUGCUUGGAGAAUUAUUUGAGGUGUAUGACCUUUGCUCAACCCAGGAAGUGGCACAAGUGGCUUUCCAUGGCUGAAUGGUGGUACAACACUACAUUUCACAAUUCUCUCAAGAUGACACCAUUCCAAGCACUAUAUGCUAGGCCUCCUCCUCUAAUUGCUGAACUCAUGCUUCCCCCAGUGGAAGGAGAAGAUCACCAAGCUGAGUUGGAUAGAAAUAGCAUUGCCCAACAGAUCAAGGACAACUUACUCAAAGGACAAGAAAGAAUGAAAUUCUUUGCAGACAAGAAAAGAUCUGAUAGGAACUUGGAAGUGGGAAACAUGGUUUAUGUCAAGAUACAUCCCUACAGGCACACAAGCUUGAGCAUUCAUAAACACUUAAAACUACACUCCAAGUACUAUGGACCGUUCAGGGUAAUGGAGAAAGUAGGGGCUGUGGCUUACAGAUUGUUGCUUCCAGAUGAUUGUCAACUCCACUCAACAUUCCAUGUAAGCCAACUCAAGAAGCACAUAGGCCCUGAGGCAGUACCAAACCCCAAACUCCCACUGCUGGAUGCACAAGGUAACAUCUUGAUCCAACCAGAAGCGGUCCUCGAGAGGAAACUAAUACCUAGAGUACAAGCCGACAUCAGCAUUCCCGUGGUACAGUGGCGCAUCCAAUGGCUCAAUCUACCAGUGGAAAAUGCAACUUGGGAAGAUGCAGCCUUCAUUCAGAAAGUUUUUCCAAGCUUCCAGCCUUGA